AGAGUUUGAUCCUGGCUCAGGAUGACGCUGGCGGUCUGCUUAACACAUGCAAAGUCGAACGAAUCCCUUCGGGGAUUAGUGGCGGACGGGUGAGUAACGCGUGAGAAUUUACCAAAAGGACUGGGACAACCACUGGAAACGGUGGCUAAUACCGGAUAAGCCGAAAAGUAAAAAGGGAAACCUGCCUUUUGAAAAGCUCGCGUCUGAUUAGCUAGUUGGUGAGGUAAUAGCUCACCAAGGCAGCGAUCAGUAGCUGGUCUGAGAGGAUGACCAGCCACACUGGGACUGAGACACGGCCCAGACUCCUACGGGAGGCAGCAGUGGGGAAUUUUCCGCAAUGGGCGAAAGCCUGACGGAGCAAGACCGCGUGAGGGAAGAAGGCUCUUGGGUCGUAAACCUCUUUUAUCAGGGAAGAAAAAAAUGACGGUACCUGAAGAAUCAGCCUCGGCUAACUCCGUGCCAGCAGCCGCGGUAAUACGGAGGAGGCAAGCGUUAUCCGGAAUUAUUGGGCGUAAAGCGUCCGCAGGUGGCUUAUCAAGUCUGCUGUCAAAGAGUGGGGCUUAACCCCAUUAAGGCAGUGGAAACUGAGAAGCUAGAGUGCCGUAGGGGUAGAGGGAAUUCCCGGUGUAGCGGUGAAAUGCGUAGAGAUCGGGAAGAACAUCGGUGGCGAAAGCGCUCUACUGGACGGCAACUGACACUCAGGGACGAAAGCUAGGGGAGCGAAUGGGAUUAGAUACCCUAGUAGUCC
rnacentral:rRNA from 1 species